rnacentral:rRNA from 1 species
AACGUAGGAGGCGAGCGUUAUCCGGAUUUACUGGGUGUAAAGCGCGUGCAGGCGGUUUGCUAAGUUGGGUCUGAAAGCUCCUGGCUCAACUGGGAGAGGUCGCUCAAGACUGGCCGACUGGAGAGCAGUAAGGGAAGGUGGAAUUCCGGAUGUAGCGGUGAAAUGCGCAGAUAUCAGGAGGAACACCGGUGGCGAAGGCGGGUCUCUGGGCCGAUACUGACGCUGAGGAGCGAAAGCGUGGGGAGCAAACAGG